AUUAGUGAAAUUUGUGGAGAUGUAAACUAUCUAAAUGUUUUCUGAUUUCAAGUUAAUAUACUGUCCUAUUGCUUUGUCUGAGAAUAAUUUAACUGUGGGUGCAACCAGCAGAAAUCAUUUUUUUCAUUCACCUUUCCUUGCACGUGGUAAGGGAGUAGUAGUACUUAUGGUGGUGGUGGGGGUGGGGGUAAGUAAGCUUCCUUAGACGGCGGUGGUAUGACACUGGAUGGUUGUGAUGAUAAGCAUGCCGGCAGUGUGUAAGAUUGUAGGGUGACCGGAAAGGAUGUGUGUGUGUGUGUGUGUGUGUGUGUGAAGUCUGGUGAUGCAGUGGUUCACAUGACAUCCGCUACAAAAGCUUCCUUACUCCUUCAAGCCAUUGAGGGUCAAGCCAGUCAAGGUCAAUAUAUAUUUUUCACUUGGUAUAGAGUAUAACUACAGCUUCAGUGUCACUAUUCUAAACAUACGUAGUGCUAUAUGGCCUCUAUAGUCUGGCCCAACCCUCUUUCGAAGUAUAACAGUUACAAUUAUCACCUAACAAAUGCGAACCCAGUAGGUCCUGACGUGUAUCCACCUUGUAGGAAGGCCAUGUGUAAGGUUCACGAAUAGAUAAGAGCAGGAAUAGGAAGAAGUAAUGCAGGAGGUACCGAAAGAAAAAAAAAAUGCAAAAGUUAGCAUAAUUAAGAUAAACUUCAAAAGCAUCCCAAAGAACAAGAAUCUACACCUUAUAGAAGGGGUAUAUUUUUCGAAGCUCUUGAAUAAUAAUGAUAAUAAUAAUAAUAAUAAUAAUAAUAAUAGGAAAAUGAAGAAAUAAUUAACGGAGGAGAUAAAGAAAGAUAAAACAAUGCAAAGAUGAACUUUAAAAAACGCCCCAAAGAAGAAAAAUUAAUAGUAAAAUAUCAAUAAUGAAAGUAACCGUCCCGGGAUGAAGACUGGACGCUGCCGCGCCAUGUGUGUAAUCAACAAACUCAGCGAGGGUUGCAGAGGCCAGGUGGGUUUCAGCUGUAAUUUUUUUGUAAAUGGUGAGGAGUGGCAGCAGCGACACCAUGGCAAAGCAGAGGCCCUGUGGGGGAGGCGGCAGAGGCAGAAGGCAGUGUGCUUGUCAAGUUUAUCAUCAAGCUGGAUCAAUGAGUUUGGCACCACAAUAUUGUUUGCUUGUACAUUUUAUUUUUUCCCUUUCUUUUCCUGUUUUUUUCCACUUCAUCUUUUUCUCUUUUCUUUCUUUUCUUUUCCUAUCAUUGCAGUGUUUUCAAGGAAUAGGGAACGUUUCUUGUUAUGAAGGGGUAGGGGUGAGCCAGUGUGUGCUGUGGGGUCUUGUAGUCUCAGGAUUGGACUAGGUGUGGGGUAGGGAUCCAAACUUAGUCUUUUUUUUUUUCCCACUGGUCUCCUUGACCCAAUCUUCCCAAUGGUCUCCUUAUCCUGUCUUUGUUGUCCUUGGUCGCCACCUAAAGUUGGGUCACCAAGCCAUUUCAUUGGGUCGUCAAGGAUAUGUACACAAUUUUUAUCCCCAAUAUACCUAUUCAAAAUGUUAUCAAAGUAUUAAUCUUGUGUAUAGAAUACCUAAGUCAUUGACAUUUAAGGCUAGGCACACCAUAUAUACAUACACUAUUUAAUUGAGGUGAAGAAAACAGCCUAUAUGUAUUUUUGGCCUUUAAGUCUAACCAUUGGUUGAUAUUUGAGAAAUGAAGGGUGGGGGGGAGGGAGGAGGGUGGGGUGUAGAGGAAGCUGGGAGCUGAUGUGUCAGUGUCAUGCUGAUGUCAUGUCAGAUCUGUAUCAACUGCUCAGCUAGGAAGGUGAGGUGCAUGACAUGAUAGGUUUUUUGCAGGUCAUGUAUUUGACUGUGAAGUAUAUUUACAUUUCUAGUACUCCUAGUACUCUACAGCUUCUUCUACUACUACUACUACUACUACUACUACUACUACUACUACUACUACUACUACUACUACUACUACUACUACUACUGCUGCUGCUGCUGCUGCUGCUGCUGCUGCUGCUACAGUUACUUGUAGUAACUGUAGCAUGGGUUGCCAUGGUCAAUCUGAAAAGGAUUUUGGGUUACAGGCAAAAAAAAAAAUUAAGAACCACUGCUCUGGGGAUAUUCUUCAGUGCUCUGGGGUCUUGUCUAGCUACUUUUAACAGGUUUUAAUGAAAGUUUUAAUGUUUUUAAGAAUUUUUAUUAAUUAAUUAAUUUAUUUUUGCUUCAGUUACACCUUUCACUUUGCGUUCAUUUAAUUUAAUUAGAGAAGGAAGAGAAGAACUGGAGGAGGAGGAGGAGAACUACUGUCACUAUAUUUACAUUUGCACUCUCACUAAUCACUGUUCGGCUGCAGCUGCGACAUUUGGAUCCUGGGACUGAAGGACAGAGAAGUGACCACCCUCAUCAAGGAAACCAGGAGAGCCACCAGCUUGGGAGGGUGUGGCAGUGUCUGGGAGGGUGUGGCAGUGUUUGGGAGAGUGUAGCAGCAUUUGGAAGGUGUGGCUGUGUUUGGGUGGAUGUUGCAGUGUUUGGGUGGGUAUUGCGGUGUUUGGGAGGGUGUGGGUGUGUUUGGGUGGGUGUGGUAGUGUUUGAGAGAGUGUACAUACAUAUAUACAUAUGUAGGGGCCUCUUAGAUAUUUAAAUGGCAAACCUUAGGAUUCAAAAAGUGCGGAAAAGUUAAAUGUUUUCAAUUGCAUUGUUUUGACUAUAUGACUCAGGCGCGCGGUGCAACAACGACGUAACCGAGAAAUGGAAGUUUCGAGAAAAACGCGCUCAAAGUUAAACACUGAUUGCGCACAAUAGGAUACCCUUAAAUAAGUAAGUAUUAUACAUCAUUUGAAAGGUCUUGGGUAGUUCUGUUUGGGGAUGUAGGUUUCGAAGUGAUAGGUGACGAUUUUGGGUGGAUGACUUACGCGUUAAUUAACGCGUAUACCGUAGGUAAUAAUUUUUUUUCCCGAUAUUGUUUUCAUUUGUUAAUAAUGUGUUAGAGCCUAUUACACAUAGUAUUAGGUGAAAGUUUCAUGAAGAUUGGUACAUAAAUAAAUUUUUUAUGAAUUUUUUUCCGAGCGUAAAAAAUAAAACUUACUCAUUACCGGCUCAUUACCGCUCGACUUUGAGCCUUAGUACAGGUGCUUAGAUGGUCGAAUAUGACUCGGCCGACAUCACCACGAGACUUUUACACCCUUCUACCACACGGAGCAGGCAAAAACACGAAAUCUCAAAUUUCACGGUUACGUCGUUGUUGCACCGCGCGCCUGAUUGUGUGUGUGUGUGUGUGUGUUAUUGCUAGUUCUCUCUCUCUCUCUCUCUCUCUCUCUCUCUCUCUCUCUCUCUCUCUCUCUCUCUCUCUCUCUCUCAGUAGUUCCACGGGUUUUCAAAGGUAUUUUCGCGGUUUUAGUGACAUUAAUAACAUUUCUACACUACUUACAGGAGAAACACACUUCUAAGACUAGUCGAGGUGACAAAGGUUUUUGAGGGUGUUUUUUUAAGGUUUUAGUGACAUAUUAACAUCAUUCCUACAUUACUAACAGGAGAAACACCCUUGAAACCCCUGCUAAUCAUCUCUGUGGUCUUGCAAAUCAGUAGAGAGAGAGAGAGAGAGUAGGGGCAUUUUAUUUGAGCCUAUGCUGGGCUGCUUCGUGUUUGUUACGGUGACAUGGGCAGCAGUGAGUGAAGUUUUUGUUCAUAAUCACGUAGCGGGUGUGGAGUAUGGAAAGGGGAGUAGGGAAGUGACGAUAUUCAUAUUAUUUGAAUUAUUAUUUUAUAACAUGUCAACCUUUGUGUGUCUUUGUGGGUUGAGGAGCAAUGACAGGUGGCGCUGGGAGGAGGAGGGUGGCGGGCGGGCGGCUGGCUGCCUGCCUGCAGUGUUUCGGGCUGCGCUGGUCAGUCUUGCCCUAUACGCUAUAUUAACCAGUUUCCUUCUUCCCUGCAUCGAACACCGUCAAGUAGCACCAAAGAGGCACGAGUACAUAAGCUUCUCCCUGCAUCGAACACCGUCAAGUAGCACCAAAGAGGCACGAGUACAUAAGGUGAGGAGUGGCAGCAGCGACACCAUGGCAAAGCAGAGGCCCUGUGGGGGAGGCGGCAGAGGCAGAAGGCAGCGUGCUUGUCAAGUUUAUCAUCAAGCAGGAUCAUUGGAGUUGCCUUGAGUUGUCCACAUUCGCCACCAGUACUGCCAGCCCUCCGAGGAGAAUAUGUGAGAAGCCCACAGGUGCAGCCCCUUCUUUGUCCACACCUCUCAGGGACAACCCAUGUGUAUCUGUGCUGAUGGCUUCUCAAUCUCACUUGACAGAAACACCCAAUUAACAAGUGUUGGUGGUAGUGGAGGAAGAUGCUGAAGAAUUCAUACACCAUAUCAGGACACGUUUCUCCAUCUGUCCAUGGCAGUGACAUUACUUGGUGUUACACAAGAACUUUGCAGGGGGAGGGACAGUGACUCCUGGAGUGCAUUACUGGAUAGCAGCAGCAGCAGCAGCAGUGUGCACAAGGAGGAACACUGUUAGUGAAGUAGUCCUCUAUUACAAGGAAGCAGCAUCAUCAGCAUUGACAGUGAAGUAGUCCAUUGCCAGAAAGCAGCAUCAGAAGGAAGAGCAGCAGCACUGACGCUUGGGAAGAAAGAGUCCAUUGCAUGAUAGAUCUAUGAUCUAUCUCUGGCUGGAGGAGAUUUAAUUAAAGCCAAAAUUAAAAAAAAAAGCCAAAAUUCAAAGGUGGAGAGUCCCUGACUCAACAUAUUGGCUGGUGGAGAUGCCAGUAAAUAAGCAGCAUAAGUCUCACACCCUUGUUCUCCCCAAGUCUUCUCUGCUUGAAGUCUCUUUCUUGCAUGUUCCAGUAUCCUUGUCUCUGUUCUUCUGGUUCUCUCUGUAGGGGUAAAUGAAUCAGUGUUAGUGACUAGUUUGAAAUUGUUAACUUUCCAGUAUCCCUACAACAUCCAACCUUCCAUAUAUAUAUAUAUAUAUAUAUAUAUAUAUAUAUAUAUAUAUAUAUAUAUAUAUAUAUAUAUAUAUAUAUAUAUAUAUAUAUAUAUAUAUAUAUAUAUAUAUAUAUAUAUAUAUGCCAACUAAAAGAAUACUCCCAUCAGGUGAAGUCCAACAAUUAGCAGCACACUGAAGUGGUCCCCUAGAGAGCUCAAGUUCUGUUAGAAGCUAGUCAGGUCCUGUGAUGGAUUAAUAUGUUCUGGGUUGUUAAGGCCUCCAGGACAACAGGAUAUUUUCUAUGCUUGAUGUGUGUAUUGGCAACCAUCCCCAGCCAGACUGUGGACAAACAACAGGAAUUAGUGAAUAUUGUAUUGUGGAGAUCCAAUGAAAUAAAUCUUACUGGUUACCAUAAUCAAAAUGUUUUGUGCCCACUACUAAUUACCAGUAUCAAGAUGUUUUGUGCCCACUACUAAUUAAAGUACUUUAGUCAUGUUUUCUCUGUUCUCCCAGGCCUUGUGGGUACAAACAGCAGGAAUUAGUGAAAUUUGUGGAGAUGUAAACUAUCUAAAUGUUUUCUGAUUUCAAGUUAAUAUACUGUCCUAUUGCUUUGUCUGAGAAUAAUUUAACUGUGGGUGCAACCAGCAGAAAUCAUUUUUUUCAUUCACCUUUCCUUGCACGUGGUAAGGGAGUAGUAGUACUUAUGGUGGUGGUGGGGGUGGGGGUAAGUAAGCUUCCUUAGACGGCGGUGGUAUGACACUGGAUGGUUGUGAUGAUAAGCAUGCCGGCAGUGUGUAAGAUUGUAGGGUGACCGGAAAGGAUGUGUGUGUGUGUGUGUGUGUGUGUGAAGUCUGGUGAUGCAGUGGUUCACAUGACAUCCGCUACAAAAGCUUCCUUACUCCUUCAAGCCAUUGAGGGUCAAGCCAGUCAAGGUCAAUAUAUAUUUUUCACUUGGUAUAGAGUAUAACUACAGCUUCAGUGUCACUAUUCUAAACAUACGUAGUGCUAUAUGGCCUCUAUAGUCUGGCCCAACCCUCUUUCGAAGUAUAACAGUUACAAUUAUCACCUAACAAAUGCGAACCCAGUAGGUCCUGACGUGUAUCCACCUUGUAGGAAGGCCAUGUGUAAGGUUCACGAAUAGAUAAGAGCAGGAAUAGGAAGAAGUAAUGCAGGAGGUACCGAAAGAAAAAAAAAAUGCAAAAGUUAGCAUAAUUAAGAUAAACUUCAAAAGCAUCCCAAAGAACAAGAAUCUACACCUUAUAGAAGGGGUAUAUUUUUCGAAGCUCUUGAAUAAUAAUGAUAAUAAUAAUAAUAAUAAUAAUAAUAAUAGGAAAAUGAAGAAAUAAUUAACGGAGGAGAUAAAGAAAGAUAAAACAAUGCAAAGAUGAACUUUAAAAAACGCCCCAAAGAAGAAAAAUUAAUAGUAAAAUAUCAAUAAUGAAAGUAACCGUCCCGGGAUGAAGACUGGACGCUGCCGCGCCAUGUGUGUAAUCAACAAACUCAGCGAGGGUUGCAGAGGCCAGGUGAGGAGUGGCAGCAGCGACACCAUGGCAAAGCAGAGGCCCUGUGGGGGAGGCGGCAGAGGCAGAAGGCAGUGUGCUUGUCAAGUUUAUCAUCAAGCUGGAUCAAUGAGUUUGGCACCACAAUAUUGUUUGCUUGUACAUUUUAUUUUUUCCCUUUCUUUUCCUGUUUUUUUCCACUUCAUCUUUUUCUCUUUUCUUUCUUUUCUUUUCCUAUCAUUGCAGUGUUUUCAAGGAAUAGGGAACGUUUCUUGUUAUGAAGGGGUAGGGGUGAGCCAGUGUGUGCUGUGGGGUCUUGUAGUCUCAGGAUUGGACUAGGUGUGGGGUAGGGAUCCAAACUUAGUCUUUUUUUUUUUCCCACUGGUCUCCUUGACCCAAUCUUCCCAAUGGUCUCCUUAUCCUGUCUUUGUUGUCCUUGGUCGCCACCUAAAGUUGGGUCACCAAGCCAUUUCAUUGGGUCGUCAAGGAUAUGUACACAAUUUUUAUCCCCAAUAUACCUAUUCAAAAUGUUAUCAAAGUAUUAAUCUUGUGUAUAGAAUACCUAAGUCAUUGACAUUUAAGGCUAGGCACACCAUAUAUACAUACACUAUUUAAUUGAGGUGAAGAAAACAGCCUAUAUGUAUUUUUGGCCUUUAAGUCUAACCAUUGGUUGAUAUUUGAGAAAUGAAGGGUGGGGGGGAGGGAGGAGGGUGGGGUGUAGAGGAAGCUGGGAGCUGAUGUGUCAGUGUCAUGCUGAUGUCAUGUCAGAUCUGUAUCAACUGCUCAGCUAGGAAGGUGAGGUGCAUGACAUGAUAGGUUUUUUGCAGGUCAUGUAUUUGACUGUGAAGUAUAUUUACAUUUCUAGUACUCCUAGUACUCUACAGCUUCUUCUACUACUACUACUACUACUACUACUACUACUACUACUACUACUACUGCUGCUGCUGCUGCUGCUGCUGCUGCUGCUGCUACAGUUACUUGUAGUAACUGUAGCAUGGGUUGCCAUGGUCAAUCUGAAAAGGAUUUUGGGUUACAGGCAAAAAAAAAAAUUAAGAACCACUGCUCUGGGGAUAUUCUUCAGUGCUCUGGGGUCUUGUCUAGCUACUUUUAACAGGUU